UACGAAGGGGGCUAGCGUUGCUCGGAAUCACUGGGCGUAAAGGGUGCGUAGGCGGGUCUUUAAGUCAGGGGUGAAAUCCUGGAGCUCAACUCCAGAACUGCCUUUGAUACUGAGGAUCUUGAGUUCGGGAGAGGUGAGUGGAACUGCGAGUGUAGAGGUGAAAUGCGUAGAUAUCUGGAGGAACACCCGUGGUGCAGACGGCUUGCUGGACCGUGACUGACGCUGAGGCACGAAAGCGUGGGUAGCAAACAGG
rnacentral:rRNA from 1 species